GACGAACGCUGGCGGCGUGCUUAACACAUGCAAGUCGAACGGAAAGGCCCUGCUUUUGUGGGGUGCUCGGGUGGCGAACGGGUGAGUAACACGUGAGUAACCUGCCCUUGCCUUUGGGAUAACUUCAGGAAACUGGGGCUAAUACCGGAUAGGAGCUCCUGCUGCCUGGUGGGGGUUGGAACGUUUCGUCGGUUGGGGAUGGACUCGCGGCUUAUCAGCUUGUUGGUGGGGUAGUGGCUUACCAAGGCUUUGCCGGGUCGCCGGCCUGAGAGGGUGGCCGGCCACGUUGGGACUGAGAUACGGCCCGGACUCGUACGGGAGGCAGAAGUGGGGAAUAUUGUACAAUGGGCGGAAGCCUGAUGCAGCAACGCCGCGUGCGGGAUGACGGCCUUCGGGUUGUAAUCCGCUUUCGCCUGUGACGAAGCGUGAGUGACGGUAAUGGGUAAAGAAGCACCGGCUAACUACGUG
rnacentral:rRNA from 1 species